rnacentral:rRNA from 1 species
UACGUAGGGGGCAAGCGUUGUCCGGAAUUAUUGGGCGUAAAGCGCGCGCAGGCGGCUUCGUAAGCCCAGUGUUUAAGCUCGGAGCUCAACUCCGAUACGCACUGGGAACUGCGAGGCUUGAGUGCAGAAGAGGAAAGUGGAAUUCCACGUGUAGCGGUGAAAUGCGCAGAUAUCAGGAGGAACACCGGUGGCGAAGGCGGAUCUCUGGGCCUUGCCUGACGCUGAGGCGCGAAAGCUAGGGGAGCGAACAGG